UACGGAGGGGGCUAGCGUUGUUCGGAAUUACUGGGCGUAAAGCGCACGUAGGCGGCUUUGCAAGUUAGAGGUGAAAGCCCGGGGCUCAACUCCGGAAUUGCCUUUGAUACUGCGAAUCUCGAGUCCGAUAGAGGUGGGUGGAAUUCCUAGUGUAGAGGUGAAAUUCGUAGAUAUCAGGAGGAACACCGAUGGCGAAGGCAGGUCUCUGGGCCACUACUGACGCUGAGAAGCGAAAGCAUGGGGAGCGAACAGG
rnacentral:rRNA from 1 species